rnacentral:rRNA from 1 species
CGCCGUCACUCCUACGGGAGGCAGCAGUGGGGAAUCUUAGACAAUGGGCGCAAGCCUGAUCUAGCCAUGCCGCGUGAGUGACGAAGGCCUUAGGGUCCGUAAAGCUCUUUCGCCAGGGAUGAUAAUGACAGUACCUGGUAAAGAAACCCCCGGCUAACUCCGUGCCAGCAGCCGCGGUAAUACGGAGGGGGUUAGCGUUGUUCGGAAUUACUGGGGCGUAAAGCGCACGUAGGCGGACUGGAAAGUUGGGGGUGAAAUCCCCGGGGCUCAACCUCGGAACUGCCUCCAAAACUACUAGUCUAGAGUUCGAGAGAGGUGAGUGGAAUUCCGAGUGUAGAGGUGAAAUUCGUAGAUAUUCGGAGGAACACCAGUGGCGAAGGCGGCUCACUGGCUCGAUACUGACGCGUUCGAGGUUGCGAAAGUGUGGGGACGCAAACAGGAUUAGACUACCCUGGUAG